UGAGUAACCUGCCCUUAACUCUGGGAUAAGCCUGGGAAACUGGGUCUAAUACCGGAUAUGACUCCUCAUCGCAUGGGUGGGGGGUGGAAAGCUUUAUUGUGGUUUUGGAUGGACUCGCGGCCUAUCAGCUUGUUGGUGAGGUAAUGGCUCACCAAGGCGACGACGGGUAGCCGGCCUGAGAGGGUGGCCGGCCACACUGGGACUGAGACACGGCCCAGACUCCUACGGGAGCAG
rnacentral:rRNA from 1 species